rnacentral:lncRNA from 1 species
AAUUUUCAGUCUUAGUUUAAAUAGGCGCCCACCUGUAUAACGAGAGGAAUACUUUUCAUGUCUUAGUUUAAAUAGGCGCCCACCUGUAUAAUGAGAGGAAUAAUUUUCAGUCUUAGUUUAAAUAGGCGCCCACCUAUAUAACGAGAGGAAUAAUUUUCAGUCUUAGUUUAAAUAGGCGCCCACCUGUAUAACGAGAGGAAUAAUUUUUAGUCUUAGUUUAAAUAGGCGCCCACCUGUAUAACGAGAGGAAUAUUUUUCAGUCUUAGUUUAAAUAGGCGCCCACCUGUAUAACGAGAGGAAUAUUUUCAUGUCUUAGUUUAAAUAGGCGCCCACCUGUAUAACGAGAAGAAUAUUUUCAUGUCUUAGUUUAAAUAGGCGCCCACCUAUAUAAUGAGAG